AGUGAACGCUGGCGGCAGGCCUAAUACAUGCAAGUCGAACGGCAGCACAGUGCAGCUUGCUCCAUGGGUGGCGAGUGGCGGGCGGGUGAGGAAUACAUGUGAAUCUGCGCAGUCGUGGGGGAUAACGUAGGGAAACUAACGCUAAUACCGCAUGCGCCCUUCGGGGGAAAGCCGGGGACCUUCGGGCCUGUCGCGUUAGGAUGAGCCCAUGUUCGAUUAGCUAGUUGGCGGGGUAAAGGCCCACCAAGGCGACGAUCGGUAGCUGGUCUGAGAGGAUGAUCAGCCACACUGGAACUGAGACACGGCCCAGACUCCUACGGGAGGCAGCAGUAGGGAAUAUUGGACAAUGGGCGCAAGCCUGAUCCAGCCAUGCCGCGUGAGUGAAGAAGGCCCUCGGGUUGUAAAGCUCUUUUGUCCGGGAAGAAAAGCAUCGGGCUAAUACCUCGGUGUUCUGACGGUACCGGAAGAAUAAGCACCGGCUAACUUCGUG
rnacentral:rRNA from 1 species